AGCAGUAGCCGCGGUAAUACGUAGGUGGCAAGCGUUGUCCGGAAUUAUUGGGCGUAAAGCGCGCGCAGGCGGAUAGGUCAGUCUGUCUUAAAAGUUCGGGGCUUAACCCCGUGAUGAGAUGGAAACUGCUGACCUAGAGUAUCGGAGAGGAAAGUGGAAUUCCUAGUGUAGCGGUGAAAUGCGUAGAUAUUAGGAAGAACACCAGUGGCGAAGGCGACUUUCUGGACGAAAACUGACGCUGAGGCGCGAAAGCCAGGGGAGCGAACGGGAUUAGAUACCCCCGUAGUCCCUGUCUCUUAUACA
rnacentral:rRNA from 1 species